CAGCGCUCACGGACGGGGGCCGGCAGCACCGGCAGGGGCCCGAAGGAACCCCCUCCCCAGGCCCGCUUUACCCCCGCAGUUUUCCCCUUCCUUUCCACAUCCCCACCCCGGUUUUACAGGCGAGGACGCGGCUGUCAUCGCGCUGCGGUGGGAGAAGGAAGAGUCCACCUGGGAAGGCGGGGUGUGCCGUGUUUUUGAGCGUGCGGCCAUCCCGUCGGUGCCUGGCACCUUUGUUUCUCCUCCUCUAGGUGCUGGGGUUUGAUUCGGCACCCAAGUGUCGGCGGCACGGAUCCUUGUGCAGCUGCCGGUGAGCUCAUGCUGGACCCAAAAGUUUCAUUGAUGGCCGGAGAGCGGGACGUGGCUCAGCGAUGGAGCAAGGGGUGUUGGUAGGAAGUGGGCUUUGGAGAGAAUGAGGUAUUGGGGAUGGUUGCCCAUGAAGUGUGAGCCCGCGUUUCUCCCAAAAUCCGUGGUCCACGGCAGAGAGCUGGCGUGCGAAAAGCCGGAGGCUCACAGGGGAGAUGGCCAAGGGCGCGGGUUACCCGGCCACAGGUGCACACUCAAGUCUCCUCUGACAUCCACCACCUCCACAGGAGCCACACAAAAAAUCAUUCCAUUUCCCCCCAAGAGUUCUAAACAAGUGUUCGGCCCUCCUCAGCUGAGGACUUUUUAACUUAGUCCUUUUCCUCCCAUGUCCCCACACGUCGCCAUUCCGUCCUUGCCCAGGAUGCUGAGCCAGGAGUUGGAUUGGAUGAACAGAGUUUUGUUACAAUUCCUUCUACGCAGCCACCCGUGUCUGAUCCCAAAAUUCUUGGAAUCGAUUGGGGAAGACUGCGGGAUUGGAAUGUUUUUAGUCCAAAGCACAUGGGCGUGGAAUAAAAACCCCUUUAACCGUGGUAGUUUGUGGCGCCACUCCGAACAGCUCGGGAGAUGGUUCCACAAAGACUUUCUAAGUGGAUGCUGCUCCAGGAGAGUGAACGAGGCAUCCCUUUUCCCACCCAGUCUGCACGGGAAUGGGGGUGAGAUGGCAGCCAGGAAAUCUCAUUUUGGAAUUAGGUGUGGCUUGCAGCGGACAACACUGAGCGUGUGAGGGGCAAUGUAAUCCCGACCAGACGUGUCUGAACAGCUGUAAACCCCAUCAUGUCUGAGGGCCGCGGCUCCGACUGCCCUCAGCAGCCGCCGCCAUGUUGUUUCGGGGAAGGGGGAACCAGUUUGGCCUGCAGCGCUACGAGACAAGCGCGGCUUUGCCCUGAGGCCCCUCUCAGGCCGGUGAAGAAGCGAGCUGGAGGCUUUUAAGCAGCCCCCGGCAAUCGGUCACCUCUCCCCGGGCAGCGGGCAGGAGCCGGAACCCCGCACCCGCGGAACGACAGGCCCAGACGCGGCAAGCGAGGGGGACGGCAGUAGGUGGGACACCGCUAGCGGGCCCGCGGGCGGCCGGAACCCUUCUUCUCGGUCUCGGGGAGCGAGUUCCACGGGGAAGCGUUCCGGGGGUGCACCGGGCGCAAUGGCGGCGCCCAGCGCUCGCUGCCUGUGGCGAGCAGUGGCCCCGCGCUGCGGGCGGCUCCUCCCCGGGCUGGA